CUACGGGAGGCUGCAGUGGGGCAUAUUGCACAAUGGGCGCAAGCCUGAUGCAGCCAUGCCGCGUGUGUGAAGAAGGCCUUCGGGUUGUAAAGCACUUUCAGCGGGGAGGAAGGCGUUAAGGUUAAUAACCUUGUCGAUUGACGUUACCCGCAGAAGAAGCACCGGCUAACUCCGUGCCAGCAGCCGCGGUAAUACGGAGGGUGCAAGCGUUAAUCGGAAUUACUGGGCGUAAAGCGCACGCAGGCGGUCUGUCAAGUCGGAUGUGAAAUCCCCGGGCUCAACCUGGGAACUGCAUUCGAAACUGGCAGGCUAGAGUCUUGUAGAGGGGGGUAGAAUUCCAGGUGUAGCGGUGAAAUGCGUAGAGAUCUGGAGGAAUACCGGUGGCGAAGGCGGCCCCCUGGACAAAGACUGACGCUCAGGUGCGAAAGCGUGGGGAGCAAACAGGAUUAGAUACCCCAGUAGUC
rnacentral:rRNA from 1 species